CAGUCGCCGCGGGAAUACGUAGGUGGCAAGCGUUGUCCGGAAUUAUUGGGCGUAAAGGGCUCGCAGGCGGUUUCUUAAGUCUGAUGUGAAAGCCCCCGGCUCAACCGGGGAGGGUCAUUGGAAACUGGGAAACUUGAGUGCAGAAGAGGAGAGUGGAAUUCCACGUGUAGCGGUGAGAUGCGUAGAGAUGUGGAGGAACACCAGUAGCGAAGGCGACUCUCUGGUCUGUAACUGACGCUGAGGAGCGAAAGCGUGGGGAGCGAACAGGAUUAGAUACCCGCGUAGUCCCUGUCUCUUAUAC
rnacentral:rRNA from 1 species